AAAUUGAAGAGUUUGAUCAUGGCUCAGAUUGAACGCUGGCGGCAGGCCUAACACAUGCAAGUCGAGCGGAAACGAGUUAUCAGAACCUUCGGGGGACGAUAACGGCGUCGAGCGGCGGACGGGUGAGUAAUGCCUAGGAAAUUGCCCUGAUGUGGGGGAUAACCAUUGGAAACGAUGGCUAAUACCGCAUGAUGCCUACGGGCCAAAGAGGGGGACCUUCGGGCCUCUCGCGUCAGGAUAUGCCUAGGUGGGAUUAGCUAGUUGGUGAGGUAAGGGCUCACCAAGGCGACGAUCCCUAGCUGGUCUGAGAGGAUGAUCAGCCACACUGGAACUGAGACACGGUCCAGACUCCUACGGGAGGCAGCAGUGGGGAAUAUUGCACAAUGGGCGCAAGCCUGAUGCAGCCAUGCCGCGUGUGUGAAGAAGGCCUUCGGGUUGUAAAGCACUUUCAGUCGUGAGGAAGGUAGUGUAGUUAAUAGCUGCAUUAUUUGACGUUAGCGACAGAAGAAGCACCGGCUAACUCCGUGCCAGCAGCCGCGGUAAUACGGAGGGUGCGAGCGUUAAUCGGAAUUACUGGGCGUAAAGCGCAUGCAGGUGGUUUGUUAAGUCAGAUGUGAAAGCCCGGGGCUCAACCUCGGAAUUGCAUUUGAAACUGGCAGACUAGAGUACUGUAGAGGGGGG
rnacentral:rRNA from 1 species